GGCAAUGUUUUGGGGGGGCGGUCCUAUAAUGCAGUCGAGCGGAUGACGGGAGCUUGCUCCUCGAUUCAGCGGCGGACGGGUGAGUAAUACCUAGGAAUCUGCCUGGUAGUGGGGGACAACGUUUCGAAAGGAACGCUAAUACCGCAUACGUCCUACGGGAGAAAGCAGGGGACCUUUGGGCCUUGCGCUAUCAGAUGAGCCUAGGUCGGAUUAGCUAGUUGGUGGGGUAAUGGCUCACCCAGGCGACGAUCCGUAACUGGUCUGAGAGGAUGAUCAGUCGCAAUGGAACUGAGACACGGUCCACACCCCUACGGGAGGCGGCAGUGGGGAAUGUUGGACCAUGGGCGGACCCCUGAUCCCGCCCUGGCCGCGUGUGCCAAGAAGGUCACCUCGGAUCCGGAACCAGCCCUUCCAAGUUGGGAGAAAGGGCAGGACGCGAAUACCUUGCGGUUCUGAGGUUACCGACAGAAUAAGGCCCGGCUAUCUCUGUGGCAACGGCCGCGGUAAUACAGAGGGGGGGCAAGCUUUAAUCGGGAUGGCUGGGCGUAAAGCGCGCGAACAGGUGGUUCGUUAGGGUUGGAUGUGAAAUCCCCGGGCUCAACCUGGGAACUGCAGCCAAAACUGGCGACGGCGCUAGACUGGGGGAGCGGGUGGUUGGACUAUCGUGUGUAGCGGUGAAACCCGUUAGGAUAUAGAAAGGAACAUGAGUUUGUUUGGCGCGGUGGACGUCCCGGGCUCAGACUGACGAUGAGGUGCGAACGCGUUGGGCGCACAGUGGCAGACCCGCCGGGAUUAGAUACCCUGGUAGACCCCGGUGCGCAAACGAUGUCAACUAGCCGGGAGGAAUCCUUGAGAUUUUAGUGCCGCAGCGAACGCCACAUUAAGUUGGACGCCUGUGGAGGACCCGCGGUCGCAAGGUUAAAACUCAGGUUAAUUGAUGGGGGCCCGCACAACCGCUGGAGCAUGUGGGUUUAAUGGGAGUCAACGCGAAGAACCGUACCCAGGUCUUGACAUCCAAUGAACGUUCCAAAGAUGGACUGGUCCCUUCUGGAACAUUGAGACAGGUGCUGCAUGGCUGUCAUAAUCGACCUCCGUGAGAUGUUGGGUUAAGUCCCGUAACGAGCGCAACCCUCUUGUCCUUAGUUACCAGCACGUUAUGGUGGGCACUCUAAGGAGACUGCCGGUGACAAACCGGAGGAAGGUGGGGAUGACGUCAAGUCAUCAUGGCCCUUACGGCACUGGGCUACACACGUGCUACAAUGGUCGGUACAGAGGGUCGCCAAGCCGCGAGGUGGAGCUAAUCUCACAAAACCGAUCGUAGUCCGGAUCGCAGUCUGCACCAAGCCGCGAGACUCGACUGCGUGAAGAAAUCGGAAUCGCUAGUAAUCGCGAAUCAGAAUGUCGCGGUGAAUACGUUUCCCGGGCCUUGUACACACCGCCCGUCACACCAUGGGAGUGGGUUGCACCAGAAGUAGUUAGUCUAACCUUCGGGAGGACGGUAUAUACGGUUAUCCCAAAG
rnacentral:rRNA from 1 species